CACGGGGGGAGCAAGCGUUGUUCGGAAUCACUGGGCGUAAAGGGCGUGUAGGCGGUCAGGUUAGUGAGAUGUGAAAACGCCCCCGGCUCACCCGGGGGACCUGCAUCUCAAACUGCCUGGCUUGAGUAUGGGAGAGGAUGAGGGAAUUCCUGGUGUAGCGGUGAAAUGCGUAGAUAUCAGGAGGAACAUCGGUGGCGAAAGCGCUCAUCUGGCCCCAAAUACUGACGUGAGGCGCGAAAAGCUAGGGGGAGCAAAACGGGG
rnacentral:rRNA from 1 species